rnacentral:rRNA from 1 species
CACGUAGGGGGCGAGCGUUGUCCGGAUUUAUUGGGCGUAAAGAGCUCGUAGGCGGCUCAGUAAGUCAGGUGUGAAAACUCCAGGCUCAACCUGGAGACGCCAUCUGAUACUGCUGUGGCUAGAGUCCGGUAGGGGAGCAUGGAAUUCCUGGUGUAGCGGUGAAAUGCGCAGAUAUCAGGAGGAACACCGGUGGCGAAGGCGGCUUUCUGGGCCUUACCUGACGCUGAGGAGCGAAAGCUGGGGGAGCGAACAGG